UACGAAGGGGACUAGCGUUGUUCGGAAUCACUGGGCGUAAAGCGCACGUAGGCGGAUUUGUAAGUCAGGGGUGAAAUCCCGGGGCUCAACCUCGGAACUGCCUUUGAUACUGAGGAUCUUGAGUUCGGGAGAGGUGAGUGGAACUGCGAGUGUAGAGGUGAAAUUCGUAGAUAUUCGCAAGAACACCAGUGGCGAAGGCGGCUCACUGGCCCGAUACUGACGCUGAGGCACGAAAGCGUGGGGAGCAAACAGGG
rnacentral:rRNA from 1 species